UGAAUUCAGACAGGAUGGCACCUAAAUCUUUUCAAGAAAAGAGGCAACUUUUGAGCAUCGGACAAAGUAGGCGGAGCCCCUGGGGCGUUACGACUCUGUUGCUGGGGGGUUUAGAAAGUGAAAAUAAACACAGUGUGUCCAGUGCGGAGAGCUCGCGCCCGCGAGAGAGAGCAACAAUGCGCGCGCUCGACUGAUCUUUAUUGGUCUGAUGAUGUAGGAGAUGUGAGGUAGGUCUCAGCCGACGAGGCUCGAAGAGCCCGGUAUCAUUUGCGAGAAGAUCACCAAUAUCCACCUACGCUCUGAAGAGGGUGAGGAUCGUUUUUGUCGGCUCUAUCUUUUUUGGGGGGAGGGGGGUAUCAGUUUAUUUUCGGUAACUGAU
ensembl:ncRNA Y49G5B.4 ncRNA